rnacentral:rRNA from 1 species
UACGAAGGGGGCUAGCGUUGCUCGGAAUUACUGGGCGUAAAGCGCACAUAGGCGGCUUUCUAAGUCGGGGGUGAAAUCCUGGAGCUCAACUCCAGAACUGCCUUCGAUACUGGAGAGCUCGAGUCCGGGAGAGGUGAGUGGAACUGCGAGUGUAGAGGUGAAAUUCGUAGAAUUAUUCGCAAGAACACCAGUGGCGAAGGCGGCUCACUGGCCCGGUACUGACGCUGAGGUGCGAAAGCGUGGGGAGCAAACAGGAUUGAGAAACCCCAGU